rnacentral:rRNA from 1 species
AGACGAACCGUCCAAACGUUAUUCGGAAUCACUGGGCUUAAAGGGUGCGUAGGCGGCGUAGUAAGUUGGGUGUGAAAUCCCUCGGCUCAACCGAGGAACUGCGCCCAAUACUGCUAUGCUCGAGGGAGACAGAGGAAAGCGGAACUGAUGGUGGAGCGGUGAAAUGCGUUGAUAUCAUCAGGAACACCGGUGGCGAAAGCGGCUUUCUGGGUCUCUUCUGACGCUGAGGCACGAAAGCUAGGGUAGCGAACGGGAUUAGAUACCCCAGUAGUCC